AUUUCUAGGACUGCAUGCUGAUGAAGUUCAUCAAAGACCGUCGUAUUGGGAUGAAGGCAGAGAAGGCCGAGGCUGUGCUGCUGACACUGACUCUGCUGAAACGGAAUCUCAAAUAUACCAGGAGGACGGCAGCCUGCCUUUGGGUACUCCAGGUCUUCUUCUCUGGUAGAUAAAUGGUCAAAGUCCUUAAAGCUUCAAUCACACUUUAUUGCUUUGUCCAUCUGAUUUAUUCUCAAUGUCAACAGUAUCCAGAAGUAAUACAAAGGUUUCUUUGUAACUUUGGGAGUUCAUAGAAUAUGAAGGAGGUCUACAUUCUGAAGUGGCGCCAAAACAUUUGGCUUGGGUAUAGACAUAUGCUGGUGCCCUUCAUUUAG
ensembl:lncRNA